rnacentral:rRNA from 1 species
ACGCGCAGCAUCCUGUAGCAAUACAGGGUGUGGGCGCGUGGCGAACGGGUGCGUAACACGUGGAUAACCUUCCUUCAGGUGGGGAAUAACCCAGUGAAAAUUGGGCUAAUACCGCAUAACAUGACGAUGCCACAUGGUGUUGUCUUCAAAGCCGCAAGGCGCCAGAAGAGGGAUCCGCGGCCGAUUAGCUUGUUGGCGAGGUAAUGGCUCACCAAGGCUUUGAUCGGUAGCCGGACUGAGAGGUUGGCCGGCCACACUGGAACUGAGACACGGUCCAGACUCCUACGGGAGGCAGCAGUGGGGAAUCUUGCACAAUGGACGAAAGUCUGAUGCAGCAACGCCGCGUGGGGGAUGAAGCUUUUCGGAGUGUAAACCCCUUUCGACCCGGAAGAAUGCCCGCAAGGGUUUGACGGUACGGGUAUAAGAAGCCCCGGCUAACUACGUGCCAGCAGCCGCGGUAAUACGUAGGGGGCCAGCGUUGCUCGGAAUUACUGGGCGUAAAGGGUCCGUAGGCGGUGUGGCAAGUCGGGAGUGAAAUCUCU